AGUGAACGCUGGCGGUAGGCCUAACACAUGCAAGUCGAACGGCAGCACAGUAAGAGCUUGCUCUUACGGGUGGCGAGUGGCGGACGGGUGAGGAAUACAUCGGAAUCUACUUUUUCGUGGGGGAUAACGUAGGGAAACUUACGCUAAUACCGCAUAUGACCUACGGGUGAAAGCAGGGGAUCUUCGGACCUUGCGCGAUUGAAUGAGCCGAUGUCGGAUUAGCUAGUUGGCGGGGUAAAGGCCCACCAAGGCGACGAUCCGUAGCUGGUCUGAGAGGAUGAUCAGCCACACUGGAACUGAGACACGGUCCAGACUCCUACGGGAGGCAGCAGUGGGGAAUAUUGGACAAUGGGCGCAAGCCUGAUCCAGCCAUACCGCGUGGGUGAAGAAGGCCCUCGGGUUGUAAAGCCCUUUUGUUGGGAAAGAAAAGCAGCAGGUUAAUACCCCGCUGUUCUGACGGUACCCAAAGAAUAAGCACCGGCUAACUUCGUG
rnacentral:rRNA from 1 species